GGCUAUUGAGGAUAGAACAGGUAUCUAUCGCCUUUAAUUGGAGAUGUGGGUUACCAACCACCAAUAGCC
rnacentral:ncRNA from 1 species